rnacentral:rRNA from 1 species
CACGUAGUUAGCCGGUGCUUAUUCUUCAGGUACCGUCAUCAACUGUCGGUAUUAGCGACAGCCUUUUCUUCCCUGACAAAAGUCCUUUACAACCCGAAGGCCUUCUUCAGACACGCGGCAUGGCUGGAUCAGGCUUGCGCCCAUUGUCCAAAAUUCCCCACUGCUGCCUCCCGUAGGAGUCUGGGCCGUGUCUCAGUCCCAGUGUGGCGGAUCAUCCUCUCAGACCCGCUACUGAUCGUCGCCUUGGUAGGCCUUUACCCCACCAACUAGCUAAUCAGAUAUCGGCCGCUCGAAUAACGCAAGGCCCGAAGGUCCCCUGCUUUCCUCCUCAGAGAAUAUGCGGUAUUAGCUAAUCUUUCGAUUAGUUAUCCCCCAUUACUCGGUACGUUCCGAUAUGUUACUCACCCGUUCGCCACUCGCCACCCAAGAAGCAAGCUUCUCUGUGCUGCCGUCCGACUUGCAUGUGUAAAGCAUGCCGCCAGCGUUCAAUCUGAGCC